rnacentral:rRNA from 1 species
UACGAAGGGGGCUAGCGUUGCUCGGAAUCACUGGGCGUAAAGCGCACGUAGGCGGAUCCUUAAGUCAGGGGUGAAAUCCCGAGGCUCAACCUCGGAACUGCCUUUGAUACUGGCGAUCUUCGAGUCCGGGAGAGGUGAGUGGAACUCCGAGUGUAGAGGUGAAAUUCGUAGAUAUUCGGAAGAACACCAGUGGCGAAGGCGGCUCACUGGCCCGGUACUGACGCUCAGGUGCGAAAGCGUGGGGAGCAAACAGG